GCAGCGCUUCGUUAGGCGAGGUUCCUGCACGAAUACAGGCCACUGAUCUGACGACGUCGAGAGACGCCCAAGGUUAGGACAGGUCCUCCCGGAUUAAGGGUUGACUCAAAGUGGCUUCCGGUUGCCGAGGGCAGCGGAUACGUCGUGCAGUGCCAAAGCUCUUACGUGGAGGCGACAA
rnacentral:sRNA from 1 species